rnacentral:tRNA from 1 species
GGAGGGGUUCCCGAGUGGCCAAAGGGACCUGACUGUAAAUCAGAUGGCACUGCCUUCGAUGGUUCGAAUCCGUCCCCCUCCACCA